GCCAGCGUGGCCUAGUGGUUUGAGCAUCGGACUAUGACUCUGGAGAUCGGGGUUUGAUUCCCUGCUAAGUCA
rnacentral:tRNA from 1 species